UAUAAACUUCCGCCCCGCCCAAAUUGUGAUUUAACUUAGCUCUUCUUUAAUGUUCUGAGCUUUUAUGAGUACAUACGUACAGCUCAGGUCAAUAGCUAGGACUUGGGUUAAUGCAACUAAAAUUGUGAUGUUUUUUAUUUGAGCAUUUCUCUACGAAAGACACGCAAUUUGAUGUCAUGUUGACAGGCAGAACUUCGAGCUGUUGCCUGUACGCAUGUUCUGAUUAAAGCUCAAAUGACUAAUCAUUCAAGUACAACUAGCUAAGGUUAAUAUUAAAUGAAGCUGUCACUGUGAAGUUUGUCUGUGGUAACAUGGAACAGAAAUACAAGUAGACCAAGGCCAUGAAGAACAAAGCCAGGCAUGAACUCAUUAAGGAUGAGCUGACAUGGAUACCCAAGAAAUUCAGCUUGGAUCACUACUGUCUGAGGACAGAGAAUGGAGAUGUGCUAGAUAUUGACCUUCAGCCUGAGACCAGCCCUCUACAGCUGAUGGUGACCCGGGAUGGCCCCUGGUGGGCUGAUGACAUGGGGCUGUACUUCCACUCUAGCCCAAAACCAAAAUCCAAAUAAUUAGGUGAUACAAAUAAACAAGAGUUUUGGGAAGAAAAUGCAGACAAUAAUGUGUAAUUGUUAAAAUAUAAUUUCAAAAUAAUUGUUAAGUUUAACUUUAUUGUUAAUCUUUUCUGCCUGUUUUUGCUUUUGUUUUGAAUUAUUGUAGUGACUAUUAUCAAUGUGUAUAUUUCUGUUGCUCAGUAAGUACAAUGGUAUUUAAAAUAAAACCCUACUGGUACAAAUGUACAACUGGCCUGUAUAAUUCUUCACUUGGAAGGACAGUUUUUCAUGUGAACUGAAGCGGUCUUUCGCCAUGUCUGUUAAUUUGUUCUAGAAAAUGCUUACUGGAAAUCCUUCUUUAAAAAAUAUUUUGUUUGUGAAGUGAGUUAUCUUUUGCAUGAUGUUGUUGAAUAUAAAAUGUAUAACAUUUCGCAGUAUUUUUCUUAUUUGUUGCAUUUAAAAUUAUGAUAUAUGUAUCAAUGAAAUUUGUGAAGAUUUGUUUUAAUUAAAUUAUACCAUAUGCCUCAUUCGUUUUCAUUCUAAUAGAAUACAACCAGUUUUCCUUAGCUUAGUUUUGUGUAAUAAAUGCAAAUGUAGAAUGAUAAUGUAUAUGUAAAUGCUAAUAUAGUGGACUGACGAGCUGCUUGAAAUACCUGAAAUGUGAUUUUAACUGAUGAAUGUUGUUCAGGAGAUAAAAACAUUAAAAAAUAAAAAAUAAAAAAUUCAAACAUUAGAAUGACUGAUAAAAUUCUUUUUUAUGAGAAACAUUUAUGUUGUGUUUUUUUUUGCUCAGUUAUUUUGACAUAUUAUGUGUAAUGUAAAUUGUUGAAUUAUGAAUGUAAUUAUGCAACUUAUGUUGUACCUAAACUUCUGUGAGCUUGCUUACUUAUAUAUAUUUUAUUAUUAUGUUUAAAUUGUUAUGCAAAACAAAUAAAACGAUGUUUGAUGUUUAUUAUAUUUGCUUCACCAUUUAUGACAGUUAAAUUUCGAGAUCCAUGUGCAAUUGGAUUAUUAUAAUGUUUAAAAUGAUAAAACUAAUUGUAAUCCUAAAAUGUUUUAAAAACAGACAAAUUUUAAUAAUUUGAUUGAAUUUUUUUAACGAAAGGACAACUUUAUAUAUUUCAUGUAUUAGAUGUUAUAAACCGUAUUUUUUUGUCUUGCAUUAAAGUGCUUUUACAACACAAAGUGCCAUUAUUUCAUGUACAUGUAUUUCUAUGGUAUGUUUAUGCAUCUGUCAUGUAAGAGAUUGCAUUCUUGUGCAUAUGUAAUGUAUUAAUAUAAUAUAAUGUUUUACAUUUUGUGACUUGAAUAUUUGUUAAAUAUUUAUAUAAAAAUAGUAUUGUAUAUUAUAAUCUCAUUUCAAGCCUGAAACAGCCAAUAAAGUUGGACUGGCAUUUGGCUAAUCAUCUGGCUUUUUGUCUAGCCAAAUUUCAUCAAACUAGAGUUUGCUUUGGUCAGGAAUGGAUUUAUAUUUUGCAGUUGUCAGUUACAAGUAGACGCAUGUGCACAAAAUGUGUGCACAUUAUACUGGUAAACAGCCUUGACUGACCUUGCAUAGGAAAAGUGUGAGUAGGUAAUGAUUGCAACGAUAUGAUAGAAAUAAUGUGAGAUCAGCAAACAUCGAUUCAAAUCCUACAAAAAAAUCUUUAUUUAAUGAUUUAUAUAAUUAAGCUAUUGAUACAUGCAUUCUUUUCAAGAAAGAAACUACUGGAUUAGUUUUAACGUUGUUUAUUACAUCUAAUGCAUAUUUUAUUUCUUUGGUUACAAAAUAUUUAUUAUAGAGCGUGUUUUACAACAUAAGUUACCAGCAUCUGAAGUUUAUAGGAUUGGAACGUUAGCUAGGCUAGUAGAGUUCCUUUCCUCAUUCUUAUUUCUUUAAAAAAUGACUAAGUAUUUUGGUUGAUUUUUGUUAUGUACAUGGUUAACUAUUUCAUUAUGACAUUGUGAAUGCACAUGAAUUAAUAUAUUAACAUGUUUCACAGUGAAUAGAUAUCUGUUUAUGUCAUUUAAUUUUUAU